rnacentral:rRNA from 1 species
AUUGAACGCUGGCGGCAUGCUUUACACAUGCAAGUCGAAUGGCAGCACGGGCUUCGGCCUGGUGGCGAGUGGCGAACGGGUGAGUAAUGCAUCGGAACGUACCGUGUAGUGGGGGAUAACGUAGCGAAAGUUACGCUAAUACCGCAUACGCCCCGAGGGGGAAAGUGGGGGACCGCAAGGCCUCACGCUAUAUGAGCGGCCGAUGUCGGAUUAGCUAGUUGGUAGGGUAAAGGCCUACCAAGGCGACGAUCCGUAGCGGGUCUGAGAGGAUGAUCCGCCACAUUGGGACUGGGACACGGCCCAGACUCAGACGGGGGGCAGCAGUAGGGAAUAUUGGACAAUGGGCGAAAGCCUGAUCCAGCAAUGCCGCGUGUGUGAAGAAGGCCUUCGGGUUGUAAAGCACUUUAGGUUGGGAGGAAGUAUUGUAGUUUAAGAGAUAGCAAUAUUGGCUGUACCGACAGAAUAAGCACCGGCUAACUCUGUGCCAGCCGCAGCGGUAAGAC